UUGGCAGGUGCAACCACAGCCUCUUCCUGUGGUGAUGGGAGGGUUACAAGGUUUUAUAGAGCAUGGAUCUUAUCACGGUUAGGUUAUUUUCUUUUAAUUGCCAGCUCUGAUUUCAUUAGACUGGUUGGACAAAGAGCAUGUGAUGUGAGGGGAAGGGAUGUCUGCUCCCAUGUCACAGGAGGACAAGUGAUGUCACAGGAAAGGCAAUAAUAUCAGACAGCAUAUCAAGAAGAAGGGAAGUGACGUCACAAGGAAGAAUGAGGCUGGACUGUAUGUCACAUGAAGGGACGGGAAGUUGACGUGUCACAGGAAGGAAAAAGGAGGCCCUGGGGGAGCAAAGUAACCCAGCCAAGAUUUCACCAGGACAAAGUCUGUCUGGAGAUGCAUGAAGCAGGAGCCACUGAAUGGGAUGAGAGGCCAAUGGGAAAGUAAACCCUGGGAGAGGAGGAAGGAAAUAACCAGAGGCUCCAUCUCAUUGUCUUAUUACAGGAAAGGCCCCUCCUCCUGUCACUCAAUUGCUUUGUACCCAUAAGCCAGCUGUAAUCAGAGGAAAGAAUAGGACACAUACAGCUCCAUGGACAUACUGGCCACUGCUUAAUGCUAUUCCUGCCUUGGGGCUCAUACAACGCCUUCCUUUUCUGCCGCAAUGGACUGCCUUUUGCCUUGAUUCCCUCAUGCCACCAGCAGAGAAAAAACUCUCCUCUUUCUCAUCAGCUCAGAGCCCGGUUUUAAUCAUCAUGCCCGUACCUCACAUUGGGAAGGAGACUCAUGAGAUCUGACUGUAAGACCCAAGUUGUUGUGCUUUUCACACUGACAAGUUUUUGGAGGACCCUUCAAAAUAAU